AGUUAUACUCCCUUCACCAGUUGGGCUUAACAAGGACAUAAUUAAUUCUCUGUUGGUAAUUAGAAGGAAAAAAAUCUGGUUGGAGAAAACUUCUCUUUUGCUUAAUUGUUUACUUCAUAAUUUUAGUAAAAAAAAUCAUUUUUUUCAGGUUAGUAGUAUGGGAGUACCUGUCAAGACUGACUUUUGGAAGUUAUGCUAGCCUCAUCAGUUGGGCUUUCUAUACAAAACUAGACUCAAUAUAAUUUAUUUUGGUGCUUGCGAUGAGUAUUAGACAGAGGGGUGAUGACCACAUAGUUCACCCAGUGUAUCUGUUCAUGUAUGUCAUUAAUUAUCUAAUUAGACAAAAAAAACUCUCUCUGUAUGGUGUUUGUGAUGAUGCUGUCAAUUUACUAAACACUAAAAUACCAGGUUGUUAUUUUCAAAUCUAGCAAAUUAAUUUUCUCUAUUGCUUCUUUUCCAGGCAGAAGUUUUAGUCUAUUAUGUUCCAUGAGUCUUACUGUCAAAAAAAAUAUAUGGUAGCAUCAGAAGUUGUCCCCAUCAGAUAAAACACUGCCUAAUAGAUUCAUUCUAUUACUGUAUAGCCAUGGUGACAAAAAUAUUCAGAUAACAAGAAACAAUUCUGUCAAAUAUUUUCAACGGAGAUACUAUUGCGGUCUAUAAGAAAAAAAUGUUAAUUAUUUAAUUAAACAGAAAACUAUGUUAUUUAUACCAACAGAUGCUAAACAAUCAGACUACCUGACACAAAAGUAUAUAUAUACAUUAGUUAAAUUUCAUUCCAAAAAUAGAUGAUGUAGUGGUAGAUGUUAAUCGUACAAAAACACGAGGAUGACAAACAUAAAUUAAUCACAUAUAUUAUCAUCACAGGUCGAUCUAACUGGUGGUAGUUAUUCUUUGCACUGAAAACAAAGUGGAAUCAAACGAUUCAAACAACCAAAAAGAAGGAAACAAAGGAUGCUUACGGAUCUGAAUGAGUUAGGGCGCUCCACUACUUGCAAGUAGAUCCAGCGACUCAAUGGCAGAGCUACUCUCGGCGAUGCCAUGAAGCCACCCUGGUUCUACCCGGAAGUCAUCACUGAAAUUACAACAAGAAAUAUGAAGUAAUUAGUAUUUUUUUUCCAUGGACAUAUGACCGCCGGCCAGUUGCCUUUGUGCUCAUGCCGGUGUUGUACCAAUGAAUUGACUCCAUCACUGUAGCGACCUGGAAGAACAUCAACUGUUUGUGGAGUUGGGAAUUUCUUCUCCGAGGAGAGAAAUGUUUAGUACGUCUCCAAAUCACUCCACUGUCCUGCCGGACAAAGAUGAGUUUAAUAUGGCCCGUCGACACAGAGAAGGCCUGCUGUCACAUACCGCUUAUUGGGCUGUAACAUUAGUCUCAUUCCAACACCACAUAUCCAACAAAGAAGCUUAUACCAAAGAGAAAGCUACAAAUUGGAUGAUUGAUCCCUAUGAAAUUGAUGUUACACAUAUUUUAUUUCAAAAAGGGGAUUACCCGGGCCUC
rnacentral:lncRNA from 1 species